GGGAGCUUGGAUGUGGAAGCUCUUUGGAAACCAAGAAACACUCUGCAAAUGAAAAGGAUGCCAACUUCAUCUGUCUUUAAGAAUACAAUAUUAGUUUAAAAGACUGUUCAACUUAAAGCAGUCUUGUAGAGAUUGUCACCCAUGAUUGAUGCUGGCAUAAGAAUGUUUAUCACAGCAUGGCAUAUAUUGGAAGUUUAGUAAAUGAAGAUACAUCCAAUCUGACAUUCCAUUCACAACCACAAAGAGAUAAUGUAGAAACAUAUUUAGUAAUGUGAGAAAAUACUAAAUAUUAAGUGGAAAAAGGGUCUUUUAUUAUGUCUUCCUUGAAGUGCUCUGAUCAGAUCUGCAAUACUUGAGAUGUAAAUUCAACUCUACUUUUUUUUCUUUUAAAAAGAAGAGCAACAUAAUCCUUAGUGGUCCUAAAUAUUAUUCACCUUAUCUUAACAUUCAAUUUCUUUAUAUAGCAAAGGAAUGCAUUUUUAGCAAUGAAAUAAACAGCAAAC
rnacentral:antisense_RNA from 1 species